GCCACUUGACACAAAUAACAAGUUAAACAUACAUCAUCCAGAGUACAAACAAGGUCCGACUACGGAACCAAAAUAAAUGAAGACAACCCAAAAUUCUAGAUCCCCAAUCGUCCCAACUGGGCUCCACUACUGAUCAUCAGGAAACGAAACAUAGUAACGACCAAGGUCCUCGUCGAACUCCCACUUGAGUUCAGUAGCAUCACCUGCACUGUUAUCUUCGGCACCUGCAACUGUUUGGAAGUAUUCGUGAGUCACAAGGACUCAGCAAUCUCACACCCGCGAGAUCAAGACUAUUUUAGCUUAUGGGUAGAAUAAGGUAAUGAGGUGGAGCUGCAACAAACGCUAAGAAAAUAUGGUGGCUAACAUACGCAAAUAAGAGUAAGAUGAGAAGCUAUGCAACGGUCGUGAAGCUAUAAGUGAUCAAGAAGUAAUCUUGAAGCUACUUAUGUUCAAACAUAACCCAAACCGUUUUCACUUCCCGGACUCUGGCGAAAAGAGACCAUCACGGCUACACACGCGGUUGAUUCAUUUUAAUUAAGUCAAGUGUCAAGUUCUCUACAACCAGAUAUUAACAAAUAACCAUCUGCCACAUAACCGCAGGCACAACUCUCGAAAUUUUAUACCCUGCAGGGGUGUCCCAACUUAGCCCAUCACAAGCUCACAAUCUGCAGAGACAAUCCUCCAUCGUGGGACACCCGAUCAGACUCGGAAUCCCGGUGCACAAGAUAUUUCGACAAUGGUAAAACUAAACCAGCAAGACCGCCUGACUGUGUCGACAAAUCCUAAUAGGAGCUGUACAUAUGUCAUUCUUAGGGCACACCUGAUGGGACAAGCUAUGAGUAAAACCAUCCCUCAAGUUUCCCCAAGGUGGCCCCGCAGGUUGCACAUUUUGGACCAACACUCAGAGGAGCACUGUCUCCGGGGAGGGGGGGGGGUUAAAAUAAGGAUGACCCUCGGGGCCGCGACCCCAAGGGAAAGUUAUAGGUUGUUAGGCAAAUGUAAAACCAAGGUUGGGCCUUGCUGGAGGAGUUUUAUUCAAAGCAAACUGUCAAGAGGGUCCCAUACCCCUCAUCAUGUUGGGGAUGCAAAAUCAAGGAACAUACACACUGGUAUGACGGAAACUAGGGCGGCAAGAGUGGAACAAAACACUAGGCAUAAGGCUGAGCCUUCCACCCUUUACCAAGUAUAUAGAUGCAUUAAUUAAAUAAGAGAUAAUAUGAUAUCCCAACAUAUCCAUGUUCCAAUAGGGAACAAUCUUCAACUUCACCUGCAACUAACAACGCUAUAAGAGGGGCUGAGCAAAAGCGGUAACAUAGCCAAACAAUGGUUUGCUAGGAAUGUUGGUUAGAGGCUUGACAAGGCAAUAUGGGAGGCAUGAUAUAACAAGUGGUAGGUAGUGUGACAUAGUGAUAGAGCGAACAACUAGCAAGAAAAGAUAGAAGUGAUAUUGAUGGUAUGGCCAUCUUGCCUGAAAUCCCGGAAGGAAGAAGAACGAGUCCAUGAAGAAGACAAACGAACGUAGCCGAACGAAUCCUCAUAACUCGAGAAUGAAACCGAAGCUAACGAGAGGAGCAAACCGGAAAGAGGCAAGCAACAUGGUAAUCACACAAGCAUAUACAUGGCCUGAUGCACAAACAAGUAUGAUGCAUGUCCGGUUUAAUGAAUCAUGGCAUGGCAAAGUGCAACAAACAAUACUACAAAUUAAGUGGAGCUCAAUAUGAAACAAGAUGCAUGUUGAUGAAACACCACAUGACUUAUUUAGUUCUCUCUCGGUUAUGUACCCAACAAUAUUAAAUGUUGUUAAACAUGGCAAGAGGUGAAGCAUAAUAAAACUACCUAUCUAGGCAAGUUUAAAUGAGGCCGGAACAACAAACAACAAGUCCGGAAAAUCCACAUAUACAUAUUAUGAAUUUGGUACUAUUCUGUCCUAAACACAAUUUUAGAGUUGUUAAACAUGCAAAGUAGUGUCACCAUGUUAAACUAUGCAUUUUUCUACCCGAUUUACAUAUAAAGUUUAUUAAAAAUGGAGCUACAGUUAUUUAGUUAUGAAAUAAAGCAUUUUAACAAGUCAUUAUGCAAAAUAAAUGCAAACAACAUUUUAAACAUUUUAAAUGUUAUUAUCAUGAUGCAGACGACAUGUGCAAGUUUUACGCAAUUUUUGUUAAAAGUUGACAUGAACAUGAUAUGAAGCGUUUGGUUGCCAUGACGGAAUGAAAAGUGGUGCCAUGGCGGCGAAUCCAAAAAUGAUGCCACGACAACAUAUCGGUUUCAGCGACUCGAUUGAGAUACCGAUGCAAAAGAGAAGUGUGCGGAUGUGUGGAACACGCAAGAGAUGGUGGGGUGCUCCCGGUUACCGGGUUCCCACGGGUCGACGGCGGUGUCAAACGAGGGAACAACUAACGUUCAAGGGCGGAUACAACAUCCAAACAUGCAUCUCAUACAACUCAUGCAUUCAUCCACGGGUCGUCGUCUCGGUGAUUAUACCUUCGAAGUGUGCAUCUCGGG
rnacentral:lncRNA from 1 species